CGUCCCCAAGAGCCGAGCCCGCGGUGUCAGAUGGCAGAGGCUCGGCCCGCUCCUUUCACCAGAGAUUCCCUUAUCGAGGCACCCAUUCAGUGCAAUAAUGCAGCACCAUCUAUUCACGUUAUAAUAUUGAGCCUGCAAAACAGUCUGUUCAGCAAAUGGCAGCUGAAGCAUCUUUUACUUCAUUUAAGCUGCUCUUUCAGACAUCCCCUGCACACCGUGGGAAACUGGCAAGUUGAAAAGAGGUCAUCACAGUCUGCAUCCCAUCAAGACAAAAAGUUUUCAUGGAAAAUAGGUGGGAUAUCCAAACGUCCCUGUCAGACAGGAGCAGCACAGCCCAACAGCAGAAAGGGUUUUUCUGAUGCAAUUCUGUACUGCAGAAUGGCAACCAGCUUCUGACUCACUGAAACAUCCUCCUUGAUUUUUACAUUCCUUUUCAACAACUCUGUAUAAAAGGAUUCACUGCACUGCUACAGACAAAAAUUCCCUUUUUCCUGUUCCCCUGAUCACAUUCACCAGCAGAGGGGCUGGAACCUGUGGAAGGUCCACCCAGGUGAAGCUCCCUGAACAGCCCAGGCCAGAAGAGAAGGAGGGAAGGAGCUGCCAGAGUCUGUCCUGCAGUGCAGCAAUCAGGGCUUGAGCUGGACUUUGGGUCUGACACACACUUGGGGUAGAGACCACCUUUUCACAGAGCCUUCCCCUGCACCCAGGGCUGCUGUUCCUGACUGCUCACCACAAACCAGUAUUGCAUUUUCAUCUCUCAGCAGUCCCAUUUGAGAAAGCAGCUGUACAAAUGCUUCCAGACUUCUCACUGCCUUAUAUUAGUCUCCAAAAAUUAGUGCAACACAUGGCAGUGUGUUCCCUAGAAAUCCAGGAAUUUAACUAUGACAACACUUGGAGUUCAUUUUUUAUGGAGGCACUUUUGAAGUUGCACUCAGGUCAUACUUUUCUUGAAAACAAUUUACAGAAAUAUUUGGAAGACAACAAGAACCCCAAGCAAGAAGCCCUUCCCACCCUAAAUUGUGACUGAAAGCACCUCUAAAGCACUUCUAAAUGAAAACAAUUGUAUCAAAAUGUGGUUAUAGGGGAAUAAUCUUGGAGCAAAGCAUCUCAACAACAUAAAAGAGACAUGAUACUUCAAUACCCUGAAACACAGGCCUCUCAUUUACAAGAAUAACACUGCAAAACUCCUAUCCAACAGUAGCUUUGCUCCCAGCAGCACCUGUGCCAAGCCCAAAUCUGAUUUCUCACUCCUAUAAUCUACAUAACCAAGCUUCCUUGGGUGCUGCUUAAACACCCAGUCAUUUUGUCACAGGGACUGCCCAUGGCUCCUUUGAUGCUCUCCUAAUCCUCAAGCACACUCAUCACAGGACAGCUCUCCUACACUGCUGAUCUCGGGCAGCAGCAUCCUCCUGCCUUCCCCAGCUACACCCUCAUUUGCAGAAGAGUGGCAACUUAAAAAAAAAAAAACAAAACCAAAAACAAAAACACAAACCCAAAAAACAACAACAACAAAAAAAAACCACCACAACACCACUUUGGAAAAAAAUGUCUUUGGUUAAGAAACAAACUGUUUGCUUUUUUUGCCUAGAAUACCUGGAUUUAAUUACAAAGAAUCAGAGUAAAGAUUAACUUAACUAUUUCUGUGAAGGCAAGUGUUGUUCCAAAGAAAAAAAAAUGAAGCCCUUUUAUUACCAAAAAUCUUCCACAAACAUGAGGGGCGUGGAGGGACAGCCACAGCAGAUAUACAGGGAACACAGCAAAUUCCAGGGAAAUCAGAGGGUCUAGCAGAUCCUACACUCACACAUCACCUCUGACUUCACAAAUAAGUAACUUAAAACAGCAGCAUGCAACAAAACUGGAGAGAAACACUUCUGCUCAGCCACGUUCUUAUUCUUGACAUACCAACAGAAAUUGAAGGAGAUGGCAGGAGUUGAAAGCUUUUUCAGUAAUGAGGGAACUGAAGUUACCAGUUAUAAUUCCGGCCAACCUUCCUCCUUUUUCAUGCUGGGGGGGAAGAGACAACUACUAUAUUUUCUGAGAGCACAAGGCUGCCAACUGGCUGUUCUGCUGGAAAGGAUUAAAAUGCAAUGUCAAGGAGAACUGUUGGAAGAAUGAGACUAGGAAAAGCAUACAGCUGGGAGCUGGGGACUGUUCCUUGUGUCUGACAGUACAACAUGGAUUUUAAUACUUCUCCAGGACCUGCAGAGCAAGGGGCUGCUCUCCAGUAAUUUAGUACUGACACUUUUAAGUUUACUUGGCAACAAGACCAGGAGGCAAAUUCUUCUUUAUAGUUUCACUGGUGCAGUUCCAAGGCAGUGACAGUGGAGUCAGUGGCACUACGUCACCAUAAAGGAAUUGGAUUCACUUCCCAUCUUUUACCAUCUCUGCAAUGAAUAGGAUAGGGAAUCUGAAAAAGCAGCAACUUCAUUUAUAUUUAACAAUCUAUUCCUUCUGCCAACAGAAGAUUAUAUUUAAUCAGAAGCACUCCUUCCUUUUCCAGCACCUGGUGGAUAUUAAUUGCUGCAGCUCCAUUCUGUGGCUGCCAAGGCACUGUACGCACUGGGAGGGACUGGGAGCUCAGGAGAAAUGUGUCCCAGGUGCUCCUGAGGACAAGCCCACCAUGCACACACACAGAGUUAUGGAAGCUUUAGUCUCAAGGAGGCACCCAGGCUUGUGGGUGCUCUCACCACUGCCAUCCUUCUCCACCUCCAACCCAGCAUUUGCCACCUCCUCCAGCUUCAUUCAACUCACACAACGAGUUCUGCCAGAGAAUCCACCUCUGUCACUAAAGCAACAUCCACAGCCAUAACAAAUUAAUAGUAAUAAAUGAGUAGUGUCUUAUAUUGACAGCAAACUGGUGGGUGUGAUGAAGAAAAGAUACUCAUUUGCUUGAUACAUUGUGGGAUAUUAAAAUCAAUGCUUGGUAUUUCCAGCUACGAAGCUAAUCAAUUGCUUUUAUAAGCUGAAGCCUUCUCCUUCCUUAAAGCACUGAAAAAUACCUUAGCCUAAAAAAAUUAACUCCAAUUCUAAGGAGGCACAUUGAGAAAGCUGAGGAGAAUGGUAGU